AAACACGUUACGAAAAACUUCCGACGUUACGUCCCUGAACGUGUCAUAACCUUUAACCCGCCGCCAUGUCACUGACUGUCACGUGAUACGAGAGAGCGAGAGAGAGAGACACACACAGCUAACGGACAUGGAGGAGUUUCUGACGAACUGUCGAAGGACACUGCUGUUGGGCUCUGAACGGUACCACGUGGUUCUGGGAAACGAGGCCUGUGAUGUGGACUCCAUGGUGUCUGCGAUGGCCUACGCCUACUUCCUGUCCAAGACUCUGUGCAGUGACGUGCUCGCUCUCCCUCUCAUGAACAUCCGAAGUCAUGAGCUCGCUCUUCGCUCUGAUAACAUCUUCCUGCUGCAUCAGAGCGGUGUGUCACAUGACCUCCUGACCUUCAGAGACCAGCUGGACCUGAGGGCGCUGCACAGAGAACAACGUCUGCAUCUGACACUGGUGGACCACAACGUCCUGUCCAGUUCAGACAGUGACCUGGAGGGAGCAGUGGUGGAGGUGAUUGACCAUCACCUGCUGGAGAGAAAGCUGUUGCCAUCCUGUCCUGUUACCGUGGAAACAGUGGGAUCCUGCGCCACCUUGGUAACGGAACGAAUCGUCAAGGAAGCUCCGGACAUCCUGAACCUGCAGCUCGCCCAACUGCUCUACGCUGCAGUGGUGUUGGACUGUGUGAACAUGGCGCCCUCUGCAGGAAAAGUGACUCCUAAAGACAGUCAGUUUGCUGCCAUGUUGGAGUGUCGUUUCCCCGCUCUGCCACAGAGGGGCGCUCUGUUCACUGCACUGCAGAAUGCCAAGUUUGACGUCUCAGGUCUGGACACUGAGCAGAUGUUGUUGAAGGACAUGAAAGUCGUCUCAGGAAGUUUGCGUCUCGCUGUCUCUGUCCUCUACAUCACACUGGAGGAGUUCCUGCAGAGGGCGGAGCUGGAGGCGGAGCUCUCAGCUUUUUGUCAAAAGCUUGGAUUUGAUUUGCUGCUGAUGAUGACCAUCUCCUUCACUGAGAGCAAAGAGCCAAUCAGAGAACUCGCUGUGUUCAGCCACAGCACCACCUGCAGGCAGCAGGUGAGCCACUUCCUGGAAGAGGCCCAUAGCCCCACCCUCAACCUCUGUCCAAUCAGCAGCCCCCAUCCUCACAUCACAGCCUAUCAUCAAGGAAACGCCGUGGCGUCUCGUAAGAAGCUCCUCCCCAUCGUCAAAAACUUCCUGAAGCAGCUGGAUGGAGAUGGUCGCCUAGGAAAUGGGGAGGGGGCGGAGUCAGGUGUCCCUCCUACACCGAUGAACAGUCUGAUCGAGGGUUGUCCUCUAGAUGGCGCUCUGCCCCACAUCAGCACUCAGGAUCUGGUGGACAAGGUCAGCAAGAUGGCCGACAGAAUAGGGGAGGAGUCUGACCUCUGACCUGUCAACGACAGCAGACCCAAGAACUCUAUCCUCAGCUGUGUCCUCGGUUCUGUCCUGUGUCCUCAGCUGUGUCCUCGGCUCUGUCCCGUGUCCUCAGCUGUGUCCUCAGCUAUGUCUUCAGCUGUGUCCUCCUCCCCUGCACAUGUGGGCGGAGUUUCUGUCCUGUUACCAUGGAGAGGCUUUUAUUGUGAAUGACGGAAUAAAACCUGUAGCAGAGCAGGUCAGCGUCGACCAAUCAGACGACACCUCUGCUCUGAAAUGUGGAUCAACCUGUUGAGCAGAGAGAGAGAGAGAGGGCGAGAGAGGGCGAGU